UCGCACUGUUCGUAACCUGGUUCAGUCCUCAAUUUGAGCUUGGGUUCCAUUCCAGUGCCACAGUGAAGCCCAGUGAGGCAGGGGAGCCAGCGCCUCUCUGUGCCGGCUCCCUGUUCACUCUCUGGAGACAUGU